GAUUUUUCAGAACCCAACUCCAACGGGCUUUUAGUGCGAAGUUUUCGGGGAGUGCCCUUUCUUUUCGAGCAUUUCGAAUCUCGCAUACUUCAACUGACUGUGUCUAAUAACGCUCUAGACUGCGAUCCCAAAUGCAAAUUAGGUAGCAAAAUGCUAGUGCCUCCAGAAAUCAACUUCGUAGACACGGUCUUGGUACAUUGCAACCGAAUCCAAUCUAUUACCGCAUGGGUUCGCUCUUCAUCAUCUACAACAAUAUCUGCCAAUGUAGCAAAUUAUUUGCACAUUCUGUCAUACCUCAACUGGCUUGGAGUACUAACCAAGCCAUCAUAGUUCAUUGUGACCCUCGUGUGGGCUUUACAAAUAUCUUUCCUCCAUUUUUUCAAUAUGUACCUUUUCGGCACUGAUUUGACGCCAUUACGCAUCAACAUUGAUAUGACAUGUCUGCAUAGAAUUCCCCAAAACUCGAACAGAUGACAACUAAAAGUAAUAUCGACCUCCUCUGCACGAAACAACAACAAAAUCUUUUUCAUCCUCGCCUUUUCUUCGUAAAUUACAUCCUCUUUGACCUCGUAUGUCUUUCCCGAACAUCCAUCCGAUGUAGAUAUGACGUCGCAGCGCAUCCUUCCAGUUAUCUCGUCUUGAAAUUCCCAAAACUUAGAUAUCGUAUAAACUGUCUGAAAUUGCUUUUUCAUUUCAUAUUUGGUUGCACACGGCACCAUUUUCGAGUAAAACUUAAACUCUGCUUGGAACUCUUUUUCAACUUUAUUUCGCAAUGCUCAUUCAUAUUGUUUUACGAAUUGUUUCAACGAUAUCUUGGAAUGAACAUACCCAUCAAAGAACGCAUUCAUACGCUCACUGUGUUGAGUAGUUGACAUCCCUGCCCAAAAGGUUGUUUUCAAAUAACACGGCACCCAUCGACCCCUAUUGUCAUACAACCCCAACAACCACUCAUUAUCAUAUAAGUUAUAUGUGUCAACCAUCAAUCUCCAACCUUUCUCAAAUUCUCCAGCAAAAUGUUAGUCAUAAACUAAGCCAUGUAUGCAUGAAAAUAUUUGUUUCUUAUCCUCGUGAUAACCAAAUUUUUUAGGCAACUUCUUCAAUAUAUGCCAUAAACACCAUCUAUGUCUCAUGUUCGAAAAAACUAUCUGAAUUGCAUUUUACAUUACCCUGUCUUGAUUGGUAAUAAUUCCGUUAGGAGCUUGACCAUGCAUGCACAGCAUCCAUGUCCUAAACAACCACACAAAGGUAUCUGUAUCCUCAUUAGAUAGCAACUACAUCUAAGCAUCGUUGAUUGUCCGUGAUGAUUUACUCCAACAAAUGGGGCAAGGGGCAUGUCAUAUUUAUUAGUGAGGUAAGUGAUGUCAAACGACACUACGUCCCCGAACUCCUUAUACGCUUGCCUACACCUUUUGUCCAUCCAGAAAAUAUUCUUAAGUCGUGACUCGUCGUCUAAAUCUAUAAAAAAAUAAAACCCAGAACAAGAUGCUUGCAUUCGAGAAAAGUAGGAUUGUAUUGCCGCGGCAUCUCCUUCACCUAUUUUUAAUCGCCUCACUUGUUCAACGUAAUUUCUACAAUCCUUUUCUAUGAACGUCAUAAUCUCGUAGCCACCGGCUUCAACAACUAUAGAGUUGUAACUCUUAUGCAAAGGAAUUUCGGCUGUGUCAUUCACCUCUAGCUUUCAUUUCACAUGUGCAGUCAAUUCUCGAUAGCAUCGAUACAACCUAGAUUUCAACGGACUUGUUUUACGAUUGUGCUCAAGUUCGACCGUGCAAAUUUUCCAUACUCCAAGAAUAUCUACAGAAGCAAUUAGCUUUGCUUUGCAACCCAUCUGAAUUGUUGGUUAUGGCCUUAAAGAAGUGCUUGUGUUAUAGUUUCUUCGUCCUUUAUGACUACAAGUCGACGUAACAUAUCUUACUAUUCCAUCCUCACCAUUCCUAGAAUUCCUUCUUCUCACCGGAAAACCAACGUCGUAUGCAUAUUUCUUGUAAAAUUCAUACAGUUCAUUCUCAUCAUUGAAUUUCAUACCGACCUUAGGAACAUUUGCAACAUCUCCUCCUAAAUUGUCACCUCCCAGCGUGAUUACAUUGUCCAACGAGUUCUCAUUAUUGGAUUCUACCAAUACUUCGUCAUCCACCACAUCCACUAUUUCUUUUCCUACGGCAAAAUGAGUGGGAAUAUAUUAGUGUUAUAACAAUAUAAAAAAACAACUACCCUAACUAUAUUCAUAAUUAGAUGAUUUCAAUAUACUAGAAUUGAAAUAACACGUUACCCAAUAGUGAAUAUCGAA
rnacentral:lncRNA from 1 species